ensembl:lncRNA
CUGACAUAUGAAUAUGAAAUAAUAAAGUGUACAUUCAUUUUUUUGAUCAUUUUUUCUGUUUCAGAUUGGAAAUGGUUGUUUUGAGCUUAUCACUAAAAUUGUUCAGUCAAAGGUACUGUAUGUUGUAUAUGAUGAUUGUCAAGCUUUAAUUUAAAGAGUUGUUGUUUUAAAUGUGCUGUUUUUACAUUCUAGGGGAUAAGCAUUUACAUAGAAAAUCUGUAUGUCACCCGGACUUGGCUUGCACCCUAUGGCUGUUAUCCAUUGCAGUCCUUUCCUGUAAGUGUACCGUCCUUUAAAGAAACAAGCAAAUAAUCAAAAUGAUUUUUUUUUUAUAACUUUGGUGAGAGUUCAUAUACAGAAUACUUAAAAAUAAAAUUGUGUUUCAGACUGAUGCUCAGAGGAUGGACAUCAUAGUUCUCCCUCUCUGGACACCUGGUCAUUUCCAGUUGUGUGAAUCUUGCAGUGAAGAUCAUUCCCGGGCAGUGGUCAGAAAAAAAGAGCUUUGACUUGAAGGGUUUUCCAAGCCAAGACUAUGGAGUUGACUGUGGGAUCUUCAUGCUGAUGGUAAUUUUUCUCUUCUCUUCUUGAGAUUCAUACAGAAGCUAAUUUAAGCUUCUAAAAAAAUGACAUUUUUAUUUUUUCUUCCAAAUAGUCUGCUCUGUACGUGGCACUGGAUGCACCAUUUGACUAUACUAUACUCUGGCAAGCUAUUUGCACACUGGAGAGAGGAAGCCAAAGCUGUGCUUGAAGGACAACACGUGCCCAUUUUCAGACUGAAAAAGCGCAAGUUCCAGGAAGUCAGUCAGGAGCCAGCAGUUGUUGAAGAUCUGCGUCCUGCUGUGCAGUGGGUUGUCCAAAAUAAGGCACUUUUCCGUGGACACGUAACAAUGCCAAAAUAUCUGUCCUUAAAUCAAGGGGACCAGCAGAGGGUCUUAAGAGACAUGUCAGAGGAAGAAGACACUGGAGCAAGGCACUUGUUCCUCUUUGUUUUUCAGUUUGCAGAAGACAUGGAGCUCUUUUUGAAAGCAUGUGCUGAUGAGCAGGGACUAAGGGUCAGUGCUAUGUUUGACAUGUAAUGGACAAAUAAAGGCACUGGCUGUUUGUUAUAUUUGUUUCUUUGUUUAAUAUGUCAUUGUUGUUGUUUUUGUUUUGUUUUUGCAUAGUACAAAAUUCCAAUUAAACUUAUUUCAAAAUGUUGUUCACUUGAUUCUAUGUCCAUACUUUUAAUAAAGGAUUACAGUGUAACAGCAUAAGCACUCUGGGCUCUAUCCUGGCCAUUUGUGGCCACUUCACUUAUUCUUUUUUUUUUUUUGACUGCUGCACUGCAGUGGACCAAAAGAAUGACACGGGUUUGAUCUUAAGGAUCUAAUAGUUGUGUGUGUUGUGCAUGACAUUGCCACACAAAUGUAUUUGCAAGCUAGAGUAGAAUAAAUUAUGACGCAUCAAAUAUUACAUAGGCUGCAGUGAGUUUUUGUUGAUACAGACUAUUGAGCUUUGAGUUUCCCAGUCAAACUUAGCUUUGAAGCACAUGCUAAAAACACUUUUACUCUUGUACACUUCAUAACAAGACACCAUAGCCAAAAUAUUAACAAAAUAUAUAUUAAUAAAAAAUUCAAAGCUGCAGCACAUACAGCAACAAACACUGUUAGUAAAUGUGUCCUGGAGUUUAUGCAGGUGCAGAAAGUGCUGCUGCUGUAAGUAAGCCUAACAGCUUCCAGAUCACUUAUUUUUCUGGAAAGAUGGUAGGAAGGGCAUCACUGCUCAUUUCUACAGUCUCCCAGAUCUUGGAAUACAAUGCCUUUGUCCCAUGAAACCACUUCACAGUACUAGGAGUCCACUAAAACCUAUAAAGAGAGUGAUCCUGGAAGAAAUGGGGCACACACUAGUGACCUCAACAAUUGCAAGACAGCCUAUUCCCCGAUGCUCAGAUGGGGGGGAAAAAAAAGGAAGUUUCAUGAAAACAUUAGGACUUUAUCACCGUUUUAUCUGAAAAGUUAAUGGUAAUAUCUAACCUAACUGGCUAUAAAGACUAAAAAAUUUAAAUACAAUUUUGAUUUUAAAGAGUCACGUCGGUAAAAGUAGAUAAAUGUUUUAAGAAAUAUACAUUUUAUAGCAUUUUGUGAACAUACACAAAAAGUGGCCAUUUUUGGCAACGAACAAACUGAGAGAAAGUUUUAUAUUUUUUGCUCUCCUUGAACAAAAAUAACAGUGCAUAAUAAUCAGUGUUGAUGUUAAUCAAUUAAAUGUCCCAGACUCUACUAUUAAUAAUACAGCAGUCCCUCGUUUAUCGCAGGAGUUACGUUCUAAAAAUAACCCGCGGUAGGUGAAAUCCCUGAAGUAGCCAACUUUAUUUUUUACAAUUAUAGAUGUUAAGACUGUAAAACCCCUCACCACAUGCUUUAUACACUUUUCUCAGACAGGCAUGAACAUUUUCACACUUUUCUCUUUUGUUUAAACACUCUUAGAGUUCAAACCUUCGUAGAAACAUAAGUCCAGUAUUAUGGAAUGAAACCAAAAGGUGCCUUUGGCGGUGCAAAACGUAUCGUCGGCAUUGUUGUGUUUGUUUGGGAGAAAACCUACAAACAUACAUUACAGCACUUCAGAGUUACACUGCUAGAAGAUUUAUGUAAAUUCGACAAGCUAAACGCAUUCUGUACUGUACAGCAGCAGUCCCCAACCUUUUUUGCACCACGGACCACUUUAAUGUCAGACAAUAUUUUCAGGGAACGACCUUUAAGGUGUCGCGGAUAAAUACAACAAAAGAAUAAAAAAGAAACUGUGGUAUUUUGUAAAUAUAAUAAUAAACGUGACUUGAGCUGUGCGCCAACAACAAUGACAGUGACAUCCUCCUCUCUGCUUCUUAAUGCUCUCUGGUCGCUAUGGUAACGCGUAAAUAGUUCUUUCAAAAUAAGACACACAACUACAACCAUACAUUUCACACCGGAGCCUCAACUCUCGCGGAACGGUACCAAAGGACUCACGGACCGGUACCGGUCCGUGGGCCUAUUAGGGGCCGCUACUGUACAGGAGACACUGGACUAGAUUGAUUGACAAUGGUCUACAGCAAUCAGAACGCACAACACGAUGUACUGUAAAAAAAAAAAAAAAAUCAGUGAAACAGCGAGUGUCGUGGAAGGUGCGCCGCGUUAUAGCACUUUUGGCCACGAACAAUUUAGGGGAUGGUGAAUUUUUUUGAACAAACCCAGAGUGUUAAAAAACCCCCACUUAAAACCAUUUUUAUUUCUCAGCAGCAUCAAUAGUAACAAAAACACAAUUUAGUUUUCGCUGUCAAAGUCGAUUUAACUGAAGUUAUGUGUUUCCGGUUAUUGUGGAGGUCACGUGUUUCCGGUUAGUGUGGAGGUCACGUGUAUCCGGUUACUGUGGAGCUCCACAGUGGCUGCAGCCAGGUGCUCUUGCUUCAUCCAGCCACUCGACUCCGGACUUCCAGCAGGUAAGUAUGCUGGCUUCCCUUCCUCUCAAUUCUGAGUUUUUCCCCUCUUUUGUCCGUCGAUUUCUCGGUUUGAGUAGCAGAUGCCUCCACUCCUCUUGCUGAGAUGAGAAAAACCCGGGAGCACCAUGCACUUUCACCUCUCUUCCUGGCUGACAGGGUCAAUGCGGCCUGGGUAGGCGCUGAUUGGUCGCUGAGCUAGGUGCCCUCACGUGGGGUGAACUGAGAGGUGCAUUCAAUGGUCAUAGGAAAUAUGACGCUUUGUUGAUGUGUACAGUUAAAAUAAAGAGGAUAGAUACUCUCUCUUCUCUACCAUUGGUUUAAAUAUGAGUUUUUCCAUCUGGGCUACACCUGCCUAAUAUUUUUUCCCUGCGUAUUCAUUACUUUUCCGCUUAGACUUGUUCAGGUCCACUCAGGCCAUCUGAACUAUCUGUUUGAAGACAGUGAAUCGUGAUCUGAUUCAUGAUCUAAUUUUUAACGUCUUCAAACUAUGCAGUUACUCCAU